GAUGAAGAACGUAGCGAAAUGCGAUAAGUAAUGUGAAUUGCAGAAUUCAGUGAAUCAUCGAAUCUUUGAACGCACAUUGCGCCCUCCAGUAUUCUGGCGGGCAUGCCUGUUCGAGCGUCAUUUCAACCAUCAAGCCCCAGGCUUGUGUUGGGGACCUGCGGCUGCCGCAGGCCCUGAAAACCAGUGGCGGGCUCGCUGUCACACCGGGCGUAGUAGAUUUUAUCUCGCUCAGGGCGUGCUGCGGGUUCCGGCCGUUAAAAAGCCUUUUUUACCCAAGGUUGACCUCGGAUCAGGUAGGAAUACCCGCUGAACUUAAGCAUAUCAAUAAGCGGAGGA
rnacentral:misc_RNA from 1 species